UGUGGGAUCUAAUUCAGACAGGUGAGACACAGGAAAAACUUAGUCAUACAUUAAAUAACUAAGGAAGGGAAAAAAAUGGUCCAACAAGUAAUGAUUUCUUUUCUUCAAAUUACAAGAGAGAGAAAACAAAAAGAGCUAAGCAACAUUGGGCCCAACAGAAAGUGUAAGAACUUAUAAAAACUUGUAUGGCUUCUUAAGGUGUCUAUGUUUUGUGUUUUCG
rnacentral:misc_RNA from 1 species